AGAAAGGUGGAUAAUGCAUCAGAUUUUGGGGAUGACAUGAGUGACAGAGUUUAUACCAUUGAUUCUGUCCACAAUGGGGUACCGUAUAAUUGUGUUGCCGAUCCAAAAGCUGGAGCUGUGAUUUGUGAAGAUUAUAUAUCCACUCCAAGGGAAGCAUUAAAUCGGCCUGAUGUUAGUGAUCCUGAUAUCAAAAAGCUCUACAUGAGGCUUCAGGCACUUGAGGCUGACAGGGAAUCUAUGAGGCAUGCAAUUAUUUCAAUGCGCACUGAUAAAGCCCAGAUGGUGCUGUUGAAAGAAAUAGCUCAACAUUUGUGCAAGGAGAUGUCACCAGAUAGGCGAAUGCCUGUGAAGAAGCCAUCUCUUCUUGG
rnacentral:misc_RNA from 1 species